GACAUAUAAAUUGUUAUAUUUUAUUUCAUACUUCCUUUCAAUAUACAGACAUUUGGAAGACAGAAGAAAUAGGGAUUCUCUUACAGAAAAUUGAGUAAAGUGCCAUUUUAACCUCCCUUUCAAUGUAAUUCAUAUGAGCCACGCCAUGAGAAAACCAACAUAGUGCAAUUUGCGAGCAGCAUGGAUCCAGACCAACCUGCGCAUCUGUGCAGUCUGGUCAGGAUCCAUGAUGUUCGCUAACGGUUCCUCUAAAUGCAAUAGGCUUUGAAAGCGAACAGCACUGACCCUGACCAGACUGCAUGGAUGCAGUAGGCUGGUCUGGAUCUAUGCUGGUCGCAAAUACACUAUGUUGGUUUUAUAAUGGUGAGGCUCAUAUUUCAUUGCCAGCAUUUUUUUACAGAAAUAACAUAAAAUAUUACAGACCUAUUAUUAACUAGCAUGAUGUUAUACUGACAAAAACCUAGUAUUAAAUCUAGUAUUUGCA
rnacentral:lncRNA from 1 species